UGUGCAUGGGGCGGCUACACAUGCAGUCGAGCGGUAACAGAUCCAGCUUGCUGGAUGCUGACGAGCGGCGGACGGGUGAGUAAUGCAUAGGAAUCUGCCCGAUAGUGGGGGAUAACCUGGGGAAACCCAGGCUAAUACCGCAUACGUCCUACGGGAGAAAGGGGGCUUCGGCUCCCGCUAUCGGAUGAGCCUAUGUCGGAUUAGCUAGUUGGUGAGGUAACGGCUCACCAAGGCCACGAUCCGUAGCUGGUCUGAGAGGAUGAUCAGCCACAUCGGGACUGAGACACGGCCCGAACUCCUACGGGAGGCAGCAGUGGGGAAUAUUGGACAAUGGGGGGAACCCUGAUCCAGCCAUGCCGCGUGUGUGAAGAAGGCCCUCGGGUUGUAAAGCACUUUCAGCGAGGAAGAACGCCUAGCGGUUAAUACCCGCUAGGAAAGACAUCACUCGCAGAAGAAGCACCGGCUAACUCCGUGCCAGCAGCCGCGGUAAUACGGAGGGUGCAAGCGUUAAUCGGAAUUACUGGGCGUAAAGCGCGCGUAGGUGGCUUGAUAAGCCGGUUGUGAAAGCCCCGGGCUCAACCUGGGAACGGCAUCCGGAACUGUCAAGCUAGAGUGCAGGAGAGGAAGGUAGAAUUCCCGGUGUAGCGGUGAAAUGCGUAGAGAUCGGGAGGAAUACCAGUGGCGAAGGCGGCCUUCUGGACUGACACUGACACUGAGGUGCGAAAGCGUGGGUAGCAAACAGGAUUAGAUACCUGGGUUAGUCA
rnacentral:rRNA from 1 species